rnacentral:rRNA from 1 species
GACGAACGCUGGCGGCGUGCCUAACACAUGCCAGUAGAACGCACAGUUUAUACCGUAGCUUGCUACACCAUAGACUGUGAGUUGCGAACGGGUGAGUAACGCGUAGGUAACCUGCCUGGUAGCGGGGGAUAACUAUUGGAAACGAUAGCUAAUACCGCAUAAUAUUGAUUAUUGCAUGAUAAUUGAUUGAAAGAUGCUAUUGCAUCACUACCAGAUGGACCUGCGUUGUAUUAGCUAGUAGGUGAGGUAACGGCUCACCUAGGCGACGAUACAUAGCCGACCUGAGAGGGUGAUCGGCUACACUGGGACUGAGACGCGGCCCAGACUCCUACGGGAGGCAGCAGUAGGGAAUCUUCGGCAAUGGACGAAAGUCUGACCGAGCAACGCCGCGUGAGUGAAGAAGGUUUUCGGAUCGUAAAGCUCUGUUGUAAGAGAAGAACGGGUGUGAGAGUGGAAAGUUCACACUGUGACGGUAUCUUACCAGAAAGGGACGGCUAACUACGUG